rnacentral:rRNA from 1 species
GACGAACGCUGGCGGCGUGCUUAACACAUGCAAGUCGAACGAUGAAGCCGGAGCUUGCUCUGGUGAAUUAGUGGCGAACGGGUGAGUAACACGUGAGUAACCUGCCCUUGACUCUGGGAUAACUGCGGGAAACUGUAGCUAAUACCGGAUACGACCCUCGGAGGCAUCUCCCGGGGGUGGAAAGAAUUUCGGUCAAGGAUGGACUAGCGGCCUAUCAGCUAGUUGGUGAGGUAAAGGCUCACCAAGGCGACGACGGGUAGCCGGCCUGAGAGGGUGACCGGCCACACUGGGACUGAGACACGGCCCAGACUCCUACGGGAGGCAGCAGUGGGGAAUAUUGCACAAUGGGCGCAAGCCUGAUGCAGCAACGCCGCGUGAGGGAUGACGGCCUUCGGGUUGUAAACCUCCUUUAGCAGGGAAGAAGCGAAAGUGACGGUACCUGCAGAAAAAGCACCGGCUAACUACGUGCCAGCAGCCGCGGUAA